rnacentral:rRNA from 1 species
CUGGCGGCGUGCUUAACACAUGCAAGUUGCGCGGUGAUCUCAAGAAGUUUCGACGGAAAGGGAGAGCAGCAGCGGACGGGUGAGUAAAGCACAAGGACUUGUCCCGAAGAGGGGGACAACUGUGGGAAACCACAGCUAAUACCCCAUAAGCCGAGAGGUGAAAGCAGUAAUGCGCUUUAGGAGAGACUUGUGUCCUAUCAGGUAGUUGGUGAGGUAACGGCUCACCAAGCCGAAGACGGGUAGCCGGACUGAGAGGUUGUACGGCCACAUUGGAACUGAGAGACGGUCCAGACUCCUACGGGAGGCAGCAGUGGGGAAUAUUGGGCAAUGGGGGCAACCCUUGACCCAGCGACGCCGCGUGAGGGAAGACAGCCUUCGGGUUGUAAACCUCUGUUGCAGGGGAAGAAGAAAGUGACGGUACCCUGCGAGGAAGCUCCGGCAAACUACGUGCCAGCCGCCGC